rnacentral:lncRNA from 1 species
UUCUGCCUCCACAGAUUCCAAGGGAGGAGCCGAAGGAGAAGUGCCGAUGGUAUAUAGCGGUCUUGAGGACUGGAAAAUAAAGUGUCAAUCAGGGCACAAUAGGAAACAGUGUGGUUCCUUUCCCCUCCUCCCAGCAUGCCACACAGAGGCUGGUAGCUGCCCGCCCUUCUUCCUUUCUCUCCUUCUCUCCCUCUCCCUCUCCCUCUCCCUCUCCCUCUCCCUCUCCCUCUCCCUCUCCCUCUCCCUCUCCCUCUCCCUCUCCCUCUCCCUCUCUCUCUCUCUCUCUCUCUCUCUCUCUCUCUCUCUCUCUCUCUCCAUCUCUCUCCCUCUCUCUCUCCUUCUCUCUCCGGCCUUGCUGGCUCCGGUUCCAAGAUUUAUUUAUUUAUUAUAUGUACAUACACUGUAGCUGUCUUCAGACACACCAGAAGAGGGCAUCAGAUCUCAUUACAGAUGGUUGUGAGCCACCAUGUGGUGGCUGGGAUUUGAACUCAGAACCUCUGGAAGAGCAGUCAGUGCUCUUAACUGCUGAGCCAUCUCUCCAGCCCCCUUCUUCCUUUCUCAUUGGGUCACUGGGGAAAGACCUUGGCAUGUAUUAAAUGCCUUGAGUGGUCAAUCUGCGGAUGUGGCUGAAGGAGUGGCUGUUAAACUUUAGACUCUUUCAUUUUUCUUUUAAUGAGCAAGGUGGGCCUGGAUGGAGGAGAGAUAAUUACAGGCUUGCUUGCACCUUUGUGUUAAUGGCCACUGAAGAACUUCAGAAGCACUCACCAAUUGAGCGCUGAUCCAAUCUCAUGUACGGGAUACUCCUCAGGUCUUUUCUUUUCUAACUUUCUGGCUUUCAUUUCUGUUGGCAGAAGGCGGCUCCAGGGCCCCACUAUUCUGCAAUAAAAGCAGGAGCUAUUGCCCAGGCUCUGUGUUCGUAGCCAGCAGUGGGGACCUGGAGGCUAGUGACCGCAGCCACCUGAACCUGUUCCCUAGGGUGGCCACGAGGUCUCCAGGAAGUACAUGCUAGUUUAUUCCAUGUACUUAGAGGUAGGUCAUUGGAGAGGUGCUUAGUAACUUAUGCAAAUGAGCAUACUUAAUUAUGUCAAAACGUGAUGAUGUCUAUUUUUUUCCAAAUUUCCCCCAAAUCAGUAUCUUGUAAGCUAUUCAUCAUAGGGAUCCAUCAGUUUACCAAUGUGAAAACACCUACAGUGUGCUAAGAGUUUAUUUAAUUUUAUGGGUGUGAAUGCACUGUGGACACAUAUGUCUGUGCACAUAUGUCUGUAUGCCUCUUGUUUCAGCCUCUCCAUGGCCACACUCUGAGGCCAUGGUGAAAGAAUACCUCUGCUGGAUCUUUACGUGGAGCUCCAAAGCUGUGCUCAUUAGCAAGUGCAUUACAGCUGGAUUGCUGAUAGCAAUUACGAGGGGGGAAAACAAUAAUUAAGCAAACAGAGCCAUGGAAGAUGAGAUACGGCUACCUUGAAAGUUUG